UCUAGAACUCACAAGUAGUAAAACAAAUUAAAACUUUUUAGAUUUGGCGGUUGCUAAAUAUUAGAGAAACUCGUUUUAUAAUCGAUAAUACCCGAUAAUUUUAACUUCAUUUUAGAGCCAAUAUACCUCCGUUAAAGAACUAACCCAAUAAAUUAAUCUUAAUUAAAAUUUUAACAAAAUCAGGUCAAGGUGUAGCCCAUAAAAAAGUAAAAAUAAGUUACUUAUAAAAACUAUUCUAAGAUAGGCCGUUCCAAAAACAAAUUGAAACAGAAUCUAAAAGCAAAACACAGUUAAAAACUAUAUUUUAAACACACUAUAGCAAUGU
rnacentral:rRNA from 1 species